GGGAUUAGAUACCCCACUAUGCCUAGCCGUAAACUUAACUUACACCUCUAAUCGCCUGGGAACUACGAGCAAAGCUUAAAACCCAAAGGACUUGACGGUACCCCAAAUCCAUCUAGAGGAGCCUGUCCUAUAAUCGAUAACCCCCGCUUGACCUCACCUCUUAUUGCCCAUCAGCCUGUAUACCUCCGUCGUCAGCUUACCACGUGAGCGCCACUAAGUGAGCCCAAUGUUUUUACAUCAACACGUCAGGUCAAGGUGCAGCUAAUGAAGAGGGAAGAGAUGGGCUACACUUUCUAGCUUAGAAAAAACGAAAGGCUAUUUAUGAAACCUAACCAGAAGGAGGAUUUAGUAGUAAAAAGAAACCAGAGUGUUCUUUUUAACCCGGCACUGGGGUGCGUACACACCGCCCGUCACCCUC
rnacentral:rRNA from 1 species